AGCAGAGGAAGGAAACUGCAGCUUAACGCCUUCGGUCACUUCGACGUUUCUCUCUGGCCAUUGUACAGGGCUCCAUGGCAUAAAGGCCAUCUUCAGAUCCAGCUGCUCUUUGGGCUUUCGGUAGAGGAGCUCUCCAGUCUGACACCCUGCUGCCAUUUUCCACAGCCUGAGGGCAACCAGGAAGCUCUGACCACUGGAUUGGACUACGAGCCAUGUACAUUUCAGCUAGGAGCUUUUCCAGUAACACAUUUUGCUUCAAAAACACACAGCUGUAUAAGUAGCAUAUGUAGAUGUAGAAGUUUGGCUUCAGUUUUUCUGUCAUCAGCACACAAACAACAAAAAUAAAAGAGUUCCUCCUGUGA